rnacentral:rRNA from 1 species
AACGAACGCUGGCGGCAUGCCUAACACAUGCAAGUCGAACGAAACCUUCGGGUCUAGUGGCGCACGGGUGCGUAACGCGUGGGAACCUGCCCUUAGGUUCGGAAUAACUCCCCGAAAUGGGUGCUAAUACCGGAUAAUGUCUUCGGACCAAAGAUUUAUCGCCUUUGGAUGGGCCCGCGUUGGAUUAGCUAGUUGGUAGGGUAAAAGCCUACCAAGGCGACGAUCCAUAGCUGGUCUGAGAGGAUGAUCAGCCACACUGGGACUGAGACACGGCCCAGACUCCUACGGGAGGGAGCAGUGGGGAAUAUUGGAGAAUGGGCGAAAGCCUGAUCAAGCAAUGCCGCGGGAGUGAUGAAGGCCGUAGGGUUGUAAAGCUCUUUUACCCGGGAUGAUAAUGACAGUACCGGGAGAAUAAGCACCGGCUAACUCCGUG